GUUAAUGUAGCUUAAAACUAAAGCAAGGCGCUGAAAAUGCCUAGAUGAGUUCAUCAACUCCAUAAACA
rnacentral:tRNA from 1 species